UACAAUUUUUAGACAAUUAAAGCUGGUUAAAGGAACUUUUAUUUUGGAAAAAGAACUGCUGCUGUUUCAAGACAUGCGCACUAGCUGCGACAUCUAGUGACGACAUUUACCGGGCUUUAACGGUUGUUGCUGCAUGAAGUCUGCUGCAAUUUCUCUGAGAUUUCUCAAGAUCAUCAGUUUGGACAGAAUUCAUUUGAAGAAUUAAUAGCACUAGCAGGUUCCAAUAAAGGCUGGAACAGAACAGACAGAAAAGAAUCUGUUCAGAAAAAGUACUGUUCGUGCACCAGAUGGUGAAGUAGAAAAGUUCAUAAAAACUUCUGCAGCUUGCAUCUGACAGAGAUGCAAAAAGAAGAAGAGAGCGGGCCUGAAAACAAGCAAAUUCAAGGGUACACUUGAGGAGUGUCCAGAUGUUUAUUAAUGUUUGAUUAAUGUAAUGUUAUGUUUCAAAUAAACAUGUAAACAUAC